GGAUAGUCUAGUGGUGGUUAGGGUGUUUGGCUCCCAGCUGAAAGGGUCUGGGUUCGAACCCCAAUGUCCAUG